rnacentral:rRNA from 1 species
AUUGAACGCUAGCGGGAUGCUUUACACAUGCAAGUCGAACGAGUGGCGGACGGGUGAGUAAUAUCUCGGAACGUGCCCAGUAGCGGGGGAUAACUACUGGAAAGAGUGGCUACUACCGCAUACUAUUGUAGCGGCCGAGAUGGGAUUAGCUGGUUGGUGGGGUAAAGGCUCACCAAGGCAACGAUCCGUAGCUGGUUUGAGAGGAUGACCAGCCACACUGGAACUGCGACACGGCCCAGACUCCUACGGGAGGCAGCAGUGGGGAAUUUUGGACAAUGGGGGCAACCCUGAUCCAGCCAUGCCGCGUGUAUGAGAAGGCCUUCGGGUGGUAAAGUACUUUUGGCAGAGAAGCGGUAUCUGCAGAAUAAGCACCGGCUAACUACGUGCCAGCAGCCGCGGUAAUAC